UGAACUAACCAGUGCGCACGACCAUAUAAAGAAAACAAACUUCCUUUGACAAUAAGUUUCUAAUUAAAUCAUGGCUGCGCCUAGGCAGCGUUAUUGUGAGAGUAAAAGUGGACGUGCUGCUACUCCCCUCAUUCCCAACAUGUAUCAAGUACCUGCAUUGAGUAAUGCAAGAGUGAGAUGACACAUCUCAGCAAGUAAAAUAAUAUCAAACAGUUUAACCACAUAAGAACAUAGUUUUACCACCACUUGAUUCCACAACCUUCUUAUUACGAAGGUGCAGCACGUAUACAACGUACAACACACCUAGUUACCACACCUCGCAGGUAGAAACCACAAUAGUAACAUAGUAAUGUCACACUUCAUAUAUUCCUCAUGAGUGCAAAUGUCUGCAAAUGCAAGGAUGACUUCUGCCUUCAUACCACUAAGGAUAUGAAGCCGCAUCGUACCCCUCCUCGGGCAACGUACGAUGCUAAAAAAUGUACCGGUACGGUUGGACCAUAAGAUCACGACAUAACUUCAAAAUGCAAGAUGGAUGAUGCGAUGUGCAUGUCAUGCCUACAACACUUCAUAUAACAUGAUUCAAAAAGAUACUUCAACUUCAUCCAAGAUGGAAAUCAACCACAUAUAUCAUUACCAAAUUAUGAUCAUCCACAAUAUUAGACAAUUGAGAAUUAAUACUUCCAAACAAAUAAACUUCAUCAUAGAAUUCAAUGAUUAACAUAAUUAAAACUUAUGCAUACUCAAUGAUAGGGAAUAGGAUGCAAACCAAACGGUAGCAACCACCACUGUAUUUACUUGCCUUUACCGGAAGUUCGGGCAAAUCCCUAAGUACGAUCCGGAAGUCCACCACCUGUUUUUGACACCCAACUUAGUGCACCAAUUUCACAUAAUCAGGCUCAUAAGCGACGCCGCAACUACGCACAAACUCAAACCCCGCCGCAGGUUACAUCUCUCCCUACACCCACCAAACUGCAGCGGCGCUGCUUAAUAAUUUUAUAACUUUAAAAUUAUGACAGCAGUGGUAACAAACAAAAACUCCAGAGGCAUCUACAUAAAAUUCCCCACAAGUUUUGUAUACAGUUUAUAAUUAAAUUCUAACAUCUAAUUAGCCCAAAACAGUCCACGAGAUGAACCCUGUAAUAUGUUUUUUCUUUGUCUUUUGGACAGCGACAUACCCGGAUUCAAACAGCGAUAUCUUUUAAAAUAUAAUUCCAAAUCAAGCGCAUAAGUACUCAUUGGAAAGAUAAGACAAAUCCCUACAUGAUUAUCAUACUGGUUAACACUAAUUACCCACGAAAAAUUCCCAGAAACUGCUAAUACCACUGCUGUUCACCCACCUGAAAAAUCUGUUUUUUUUGGACAGCAACAUAACCGGAUUCAAACAACGAUAUCUCCUAAAUUAUAACUCCGAAUCGAGCGCAUAAGUACUUGUUGGAAAGAUAACAUAAAGCCCUACAUGAUUCUCAUACUGAUUAACACUAAUUACUCCCGAAAAAUCCCCAGAAACUGCUAAUACUGCUGCUGUUCAUCCCCCUAAAAAUCUGUUUUUUUGGACAGCCACCUACCCGGUUUCAAACGGUGAUAACUUUUAAUUUAUAACUCCAAAUUGAGCGCAUAAAUACUCGUUGGAAAGGUAUGCCAAAGUUCUACAUGAUUCCCAAACUUAUUCCCCUUAAUUGUCCACGAAAAAUGCCCAGAAAUCACUAAUUCUGCUGCUGUUCGUCCACCCCCUUAAAAUUCUGGACAGCCCUUCUACCAAAUCGCACACGCAACAUCUAAACAAUUGGAUUGCCGCAUAAAAUGAACAAGAGAUAAACACAAAAAUCACCUUGGGUUCUCCCCCUUUUCUUCCUCCCUUCCUCCCUCCACCGAAAACCGUUGAAGAUUUGCACCACGCGACGGAGAUCCGAGCGGCAACGAAUGGCACCAUAGGAGGAGGUGAUGGGGGGGGGGCGGCUAGGGUUUGAUGUGUGGCUGCAAGUGCUUGAGAAAGGAGGAGAUGGGAGAGGAGGCGGCCAAGAGGAUAGGGGAAUGGGG
rnacentral:lncRNA from 1 species